AGUAAACCAGGCAUUAAGAUGCUGAGUUGCUGGAGCAUGUCCAGAGAAGAGCAAUGAAGCUGGUGAAGGGCCUGGAGUAUUGCUUAUGCAAUUGUUUACAAGAGGUGGAGCAUUAACAAGACUGGGAAUCGUAGAAUCAGAGAAUCAACCAGGUCAGAAGAGACCUCCAAGAUCAUCCAAGACUUCUCACACCCUUCUGUUUCCUCUCUACUACUUAUGCUCUAUUUCACAGAUGAGAAACAGAAGUGCAAUAACAACAACAAAAAAAAGCUGCCCAAGAACAUAAAACCAAUCAUCUGGCCAAGCUUUCCGCUUCUGACAUGUGAGAAAGAAGAGUGGCAGCUCUCCAGCUCAAAGGGCCAACCAGAUCAUGGUCUGCAUCAGGAAAAGUGUGGCCAGAAGGAUGAGGGAGGUGAUUCUGCCCCUCUACUCUGCUCUGCUGAGACCCCACCAGGAGUACUGCAUCCAGUUCUGGAGCCCCCAUUACAAGAAGGCUGUGGAUGUGCUGGAUCGUGUCCAGAGAAGGGACACUGGGUUGACCAGAAGGCUGGAGAAGCUCUGCUAUGAGGAGUCUGAAAGAAUUGGGGCUGUCUGAAGAAGAAAAGGCUCUGAGAUGACCUUCUUGUGACCUUCCAGGAUCUGAAGAGGACCUACAAAAAAGCCAGGGAGGGACUUUUUAGGCUAUCAGGGAGUGACAGGACUGGGGGGAAUGGAGAGGAGCUUGACAAGGGUAGGUUCAGGCUGGACAUGAGAAGGAAGUUGUUGAGCAUGAGAGUGGUGAGAGGCUGGAAUGGGUUGCCCAGGGAGGUGGUUAAGACCCUGUCCCUGGAGGUGUUUAAGGCCAGGCUGGCUGAGGCCGUGGCCAGUCUGAUCUAGGGCAGAGUGUCCCUGUCCAUGGAAGGGGGGUUGGAAAUAGAUGCUCCUUGUGGUUCCUUCCAAUCCUGACUGAUUCUAUGAGUCUAUGAUUCUAUGAUUUUAUGAUUCUGAGUAUCUCUUGUUAAUCAUAACAGCUUACUUAGUGGCCAUUACUGUAUGUUUCUAUUCCUUUAUCCCCUAUGCACAUUUAUCAACAUCAACGUUCAUUUGCUCAGUGUCUUUUAAUUGAUUGGUACUCUGAAAUCUGCUGCAACUCUUAACAAUCACUUUUCAUCAUUAUUAUUUUGAAGACUUUUGUAUCAGCAGAACACUUAGUCACCUCAUUAUUCACUUCCUUUUCUAGAUCAUUUAUGCCGAGCAGUAGAUGUUUCAGUGGAGCUCCCUAAGGGACUCUGCUGUUAAACCUCUACUUUUGUCGAAGCUGAUCGCUUAAUCCUACUAUUUAAGCCACCUAUUAAUUCAUGGGAAGACCUCCCAUCUAGUCCCAUGACAGCUGAUUUUCCCAUGAGUCAAGAUUUUAUCCUAGGCCAUUUAGUUUUAAUUUUUUACAGCUGCUGUAGAAAAGCAAUUUACCACCUGAUAGCAAAAUUAUAUGUAUUAUAAUAUUCAUGCACAAAUAAAAUGCAAGAACUGCUCUCUAAAGAGAAAGCCCCUCAGCUACCAACACCAGAAGCACAUUUAUAGUGCAGUCUGGUGAAAUUUAACAUCUUAAAGUAUGUGGCAAAAUGGACUUUACGAAGUAUCUGAAGGGGACCUACAGGAUGGCUGGGGAGGGAUUAUUUACAAGGUCUUGUAAUGACAGGAGGAGGGGUAAUGGGUUUAAACUGGCAGAGGGGACACAGUCUCAAGUUGUGCCGGAGUAGGUCUAGGCUGGAUGUUAGGAGGAAGUUCUUCACAGAGAGAGUGAUUGGCAUUGGAAUGGGCUGCCCAGGGAGGUGGUGGAGUCACCAUCCUUGGAGCUGUUCAAGAAAAGACUGGAUGAGGCACUUAGUGCCAUGGUCUGGUUGAUUGCCUAGGGCUGGGUGCUAGGUUGGACUGGAUGAUCUUGGAGGUCUCUUCCAACCUGGUUGAUUCUAUGAUUCUAUGACAAACACAUAAAAACUACACCAAACUCAAGAUGCAGUGUAUAAAAUUAAACUAGUGAAAAGAUCAUCCUGUGAUUCACAAGUUACAGAUAUUUGUAUGUUUUAAUCCAGGAUUUGCAA